rnacentral:rRNA from 1 species
GAUGAACGCUGGCGGCGUGCCUAAUACAUGCAAGUCGAACGAAACUUCUUUAUCACCGAGUGCUUGCACUCACCGAUAAAGAGUUGAGUGGCGAACGGGUGAGUAACACGUGGGCAACCUGCCCAAAAGAGGGGGAUAACACUUGGAAACAGGUGCUAAUACCGCAUAACCAUAGUUAACGCAUGGUAACUAUGUAAAAGGUGGCUAUACUACCGCUUUUGGAUGGGCCCGCGGCGCAUUAGCUAGUUGGUAGGGUAAAGGCUUACCAAGGCAAUGAUGCGUAGCCGAAUUGAGAGGUUGAUCGGCCACAUUGGGACUGAGACACGGCCCAAACUCCUACGGGAGGCAGCAGUAGGGAAUCUUCCACAAUGGGCGAAAGCCUGAUGGAGCAACGCCGCGUGGGUGAAGAAGGUCUUCGGAUCGUAAAACCCUGUUGUUAGAGAAGAAAGUGCGUGAGAGUAACUGUUCACGUUUCGACGGUAUCUAACCAGAAAGCCACGGCUAACUACGUG